rnacentral:rRNA from 1 species
AUUGAACGCUGGCGGCAGGCCUAACACAUGCAAGUCGAGCGAGCGGCGGACGGGUGAGUAAUGUAUGGGGACUGCCCGAUAGAGGGGGAUAACUACUGGAAACGGUAGCUAAUACCGCAUACUAUCGGAUAACCCAUAUGGGAUGAGCUAGGAGGUGAGGUAAUGGCUGAACUAGGCGACGAACCCUAGCUGGCCUGAGAGGAUGAUCAGCCACACGGGGACUGAGACACGGUCCAGACUCCUACGGAGGCAGCAUUGGGAAAUAUUGCACAAUGGGCGCAAGCCUGAUGCAGCCAUGCCGCGUGAAUGAAGAAGGCCCUAGGGUUGUAAAGUACUUUCAGUCGGGAGGCGUUACCGACAGAAUAAGCACCGGCUAACUCCGUGCCAGCAGCCGCGGUAAUAC